GUUAUUUCGUUAUUUCAUAUUUUAUUUUAUUUUAUUAUUUCAUAUUUCAUUCUUUGUAUUAUGCUAGUAGUAGCCCCUGUACCUUGACUUGCGUGGGAUUUGUGGAUAUUGUCUGUUGUCUGUUGUUGCUGUUGCUGUGGUCGUUUCUUGCACUGCUUUGGAUUGGGUUAUCGGCUGGGAAUCUGUAUUUGGGGCUGUGGGGGUUGAGUCCAGUGGUGUUUGACCCCUAAUUGAGUAUAGUUUUGUUUCAUGAGUAUUUCUUUGAAUUUGUGUGAGCCUCGUAUUUCCUUGCUGCUGCUUUGAUACUAUCACCGUGUAUAUCUUUAUAUUUUCUUAUACUUUCGUGUAGUUGUGGCUGUAGGCGGUAAUGGGUAGAUAGGGUCAUGUCCGAGGGGGUUGGGGCGUGGGGCCGUGGUAGGAGAGGGCGGGAGUGGGAGGGAGGCCAAGGUUUGGCCGCGGGGGGUAGUGGAAGGCGUGUGGAUAGUGACGGUAGGCUGAGGGUUGGGUCUUGGAAUAUAGGGACCCUUCAGGGUAAGUCCAUAGAGCUUGUGAAGAUUCUUAGGAAGAGGAGGAUCAACAUUGCGUGUGUCCAAGAGACCAAGUGGGUAGGGUCUAAGGCUAGGGAUNN
rnacentral:lncRNA from 1 species